UCACUGUGACGGCCUUUCCACACCGCUCCCCCACCACCACGCGCGCCGCCUCGCCCCACCUCGCGCCGUCGCCGCCGCCGCCGCAGCUCCCUCCUGCUCCACUCCCUCGCCCUACUCCAGCUGCUGCCUGUCCCUCCCACCGAGCAGCCGGAUCUCCCAGUGAGUAGGCCCGGGCCGCCAGAUCCGGUGACCCCGGUCUCCUCGCCGGUGUAUCCGGCGCCGCAGGGAGGGACGAGAGCCGCCGGCGCUGCCGCCCUUUCUCCUCUCUCAUCCCUGCCACGCCACUGCCUCCCUCGCCCUAGACCUCUACGCCUCGAUCAGUGCGGUGUAAUAUGGCUCGGGGACCGUCUGACUCAUCGACCUUGACAGAAGGUGAGAAGGGAGGGGAGAGCGCCGACUCGGCCACGACCGCGACGAAGACAGCCGCGGCUCGGCGUCGGCAACGACGGCUACCUGGGCGUAUUUUCAUAUUCAGACAGUUUUGGAAGCUGCAAGUACACAUGGCUUGCCUCUUGAAUGUACAUCAAAGGAGUUUUUUAUAUGCUGCUGUACUGUGUUCCUUUCACUGAUGUGUGCUAUAUGCUCCAAGCGCAUAAAUUACAGUGUUCUAAAAAUCGCCAUUAGGCGGCACCUCGGCGCCGUGAUUAGCCCCUCGGUGGCGAGUUCGGCGGCUGCCCUGCCGCGACGGUCAACAUCGGUCCACCUCGGCGCCUAGGCGGCCUAGGCACGGUGGCGACUAGUCGACGAGGCGGCCGACUGAGCUAGCUAUGCGGGCUGCUGUGGCGGGUAUAUAAGGUGGGUGCAUCCUGGCUGCUUGACUUAAUCCCAAAAUCAGAGUGCGUGAAGGGGCGGCUAGGGUUUGGAGCUGCCUUAGGACGGUGCGCAGGCGCAGGCGCAGGCGCAGCCGCCAUAGUAGUUUGAUCCGCCGGCAGCUCAGCUGCUCUGCUUCUCUCCGCGACCAAGCGACUAGCCUACCAUCCUCUGUUCUUUUUCACACGGUCGUGCUUGCGCAGUUGUGCCUCGACUCGUCGAUGACUCUGCUCAGGUGCUCAGGUGCUCUGCUCUGCCCCCAUCCUUCCUGCCAACCACCGUGUUCUGCUCCAAGCUGCCGACACCAGCACCACCAUGGUGAACACUGGCGAAUCGAGCAAUGUUACUGGGGUAACAGAAGUACCCUAUCCUCAUUAGAGGAACUCCAAUGACAUGGGAUGGGAAUGAGGCAAAACAUUCAAUGAAUCAAACAAAGAUAGGGUCCAAUGCUUAUUAUGUGGUCACAAAAUGCAGGAUCAAAGAACAUAUUGGCCACAUUAUACCAUGCAAAGUCUAUUCACAUCACAAGACAUUGGCCUUGAUGAGGAAGCACACGAAGAAGAGAGAUACCAUAAGGCCGGGUGUGACUAGAUUUGCUUUAGCAUUUCUAACCUUGCAAAGCUUGAUUGAGAAGAAGCGUGAGCUAAGGGCAAUGGCGCUUAGUGUGGAGUGGGAUUGUGGGAACAAUGCACCCGCACUAAAAAAAGCAAAAGGCAAGAUAGCUACCUCUACACUAAUGAGUAGGACCUUUUGGAAUGAUGUUUCUCAGUGUUUGAAGGUUUUUGAGCCAUUAGUCAAAGUACUUCACAUGGUUAAUAGUGAUGGUCUAUCCUGACCUUCAUCUGUGGACAAAUUCUAGAGGCAAAGAAGGAAAUCAUGGUAGCUGCAAAAAACUUGGAGAACACCUACAAUCCCAUCUUUGAACAUAUUGCUAAAAAGAUGGAGGGUAGGCUUGAUGCUCCACUGCAUUUGACAGCAUAUAUAUUGAUUCCUUAUUACACUUACCAUGAUCAAUCUAUCUUUUUGGAUCCUUCUAUCAUGGAUGGUUUCUUUGAUUGUAUUGAAACCUUUUAUGUGGUGAUGAUGAUCUUCAAGCUCAAGUGAUCAAUGAACUUCCCAAGUUUAAGGACUAGCUAGGGGCAUUUGGGAAACCUGCUGCGGAACUGGAUGUCAAAAAUCGCAUUUCUCCUGCUGACUGGUGGGCAGCAUAUGGAUGCCAUGUUCCUAAUUUGCAAAAGAUGGCCAUAAGGAUCCUCUCCUUGACAUAUAGUUCCUCUGGUUGUGAAAGGAAUUGGAGUAUUUUUGAUAUGGUUCAUACAAAGAAGAGAAAUAGGCUUGGGGCUGGUCGCCUAAACAACUUAGUCUAUGUUCAAUUCAAUGCAAGGUUGCUGAAAAGGGCUGAGAAACGCAAUGGAAAAAUAACAAAGAUGUGCUCCUAGCUACAGAUGCAUUCCAUGCGCAAGGGUGGAUCACUGAUGGUGGAGAUGAGGAAGAUAUUGAUCCCAUUUCAGGACUUCCAUUCAGUCUCAUCUAUGAAGCAAGUGGGGCUACUAAAGCCAU